rnacentral:rRNA from 1 species
CCCUUAGAUGUUCUGGGCUGCACGCGCGCUACACUGAUGCGAUCAACAAGUUUUUCCUAUGUCGAUAGACACGGGUAAUCUUUUGAACUCGCAUCGUGAUGGGGAUAGAUUAUUGUAAUUAUUAAUCUUCAACGAGGAAUUCCUAGUAGGUGCAAAUCAUCAGUAUGCAUCGAUUACGUCCCUGCCCUUUGUACACACCGCCCGUCGCUGCUACCGAUUGGUUGAUCUGGUGAAUUAUUCGGACUGCCGGCUGAAGGGGUUUCCUCAUCUGCCAGCGGAAAGUCUUGUUAACCCUAUCAACUAGAGGAAGCAGAAGUCGUAACA